GUGUCAGCAGCCGCGGUAAUACGGGGGGGGCAAGCGUUGUUCGGAAUCACUGGGCGUAAAGGGCGUGUAGGCGGGCGGAUAAGUCAGACGUGAAAUCCCCAGGCUCAACCUGGGAAUUGCAUUUGAAACUGUCCAUCUUGAGUGUCGGAGAGGAAAGCGGAAUUCCUGGUGUAGAGGUGAAAUUCGUAGAUAUCAGGAGGAACACCGGUGGCGAAGGCGGCUUUCUGGACGACAACUGACGCUGAGACGCGAAAGCGUGGGUAGCAAACAGGAUUAGAUACCCUGGUAGUCC
rnacentral:rRNA from 1 species